AGUGAACGCUGGCGGUAGGCCUAACACAUGCAAGUCGAACGGCAGCACAGUAAGAGCUUGCUCUUACGGGUGGCGAGUGGCGGACGGGUGAGGAAUACAUCGGAAUCUACUUUUUCGUGGGGGAUAACGUAGGGAAACUUACGCUAAUACCGCAUACGACCUACGGGUGAAAGCAGGGGAUCUUCGGACCUUGCGCGAUUGAAUGAGCCGAUGUCGGAUUAGCUAGUUGGCGGGGUAAAGGCCCACCAAGGCGACGAUCUGUAGCUAGUCUGAGAGGAUGAUCAGCCACACUGGAACUGAGACACGGUCCAGACUCCUACGGGAGGCAGCAGUGGGGAAUAUUGGACAAUGGGCGCAAGCCUGAUCCAGCCAUACCGCGUGGGUGAAGAAGGCCUUCGGGUUGUAAAGCCCUUUUGUUGGGAAAGAAAAGCAGCAGGUUAAUACCCCGCUGUUCUGACGGUACCCAAAGAAUAAGCACCGGCUAACUUCGUG
rnacentral:rRNA from 1 species